ACCCUGCUGGGUUAUAUUAGUACUGCUGGUACUUUAUUGUGAUUAUAAGAGCUACAGUUCUGACCUCUUGCCCACCACAUACCCUAUGCCACUCUAUACAACUAUUGGUCCUUGCUCCAAUUCAUAUACAAUGGAAGCCUCUCAGAACACUGCAGACGUCCAGACCAUGAUUAAUGAGGCCGUAGCCGCCUCCAUGGAGAAGGCACUCUCCAAAGUGAUGACGGCGAAUACCAAGCAGAGGAAAUCCUCUAAAGCCCACCACUCCAACUUUGAUUCGGACUCUGAGGCUUCAGAACCAUGCACGAAGAAGGACACCCACCCUGGCAAAUGCCACUGG